UAUUAAUUUAAGUGAAAACACAUUAAAAUAAAAUGUUUACAAAUUACUUUAUUUUUUUUUUUUUUUUACAAUAUGUUAAACUUUUGAAAUUUGUCAAGAGUUAAAAAAAAAAAAGUUUACCAUUGAAAAAUGUAAUAUAUAUCACGUUUUAACUUGAAUACAGAAAAAAAAUAUUUUAAAAUAAAUAUUAAUUAAAAAAAAACAACAAAAAAACAAUUUUUUUUUAUAUAUCGUGUAAAAUUUUAAUAAAUAGUUAGAACAUUUUCUAUAUUUGUAUAUCAGAUAUUUUUUUAGAUUUUCACUUCUAAGGACCCAAAAAAAUAUCACUUGAAAAACGGACAAGUUUUGCAGCAUGGCGGAAGGCGAUCCAUUUGAUAAUUCGACUUGGAGGCAAAGAGUAAAUACUUUAUCUACAGAUUUAAAUAAUACGGAAGAUGAAAAUGAUACAAUUGGGGCACUUAACAGACAUGCGCGAAAUGUUACUUGGGAAUAUAUUGGUCAUCCGGGAAUAUCGCCACUUUUGUUUUUUGGUGCUUUUUUACUUGUUUUGGUUUGUGUUAUUGUUAUUUUAAUUGUUUAUGUGGCUUUACUUAAACACUUAUUUAAUGAUGACGUAAGAUUAAUACUAAUACAUACAUAUAUAUAUAUAUAUAUAUACGUGACAUGUUUAUUUAACUGCAUAAAAUUAAUUAAGUGUUCAUUAAACAAUAUGUUACGUAUUUUUUUAAUUUUUAAAAGGAGGAAGAUGAUGAAAACCUACGUGAACAAUUGCUUCACGCAUUGCAUACUAAUCCUCCCGACGAUAAUGAUGAGUCACGUGAACCAUUGCUUCAAGAGGGGGAGGAUGAUGAUCCAGGCAAUGGAGUUGAAGAAAGCACGGUAUAAUAAGCUCAGUAGCAAUAACCAUGUAUUAAAGCCAUUCAUUUAAUAAAUACAAAUAUUGAAUGUAAAACGGUAUAAUGUAGCAAAACUUUAAAAAAAUUAUUGAGAUAAUAUUUUUAAAAUUAAAAAUUAUAGUAAAAGUUUUAAACAUUAAAGUCUACAUAAGAAUUAUUAGAAUAUGACGAUAGUAAUUAUGACAAUAUUGAACAAAUAAAGAUACAAACGGUGUCA
rnacentral:lncRNA from 1 species